rnacentral:rRNA from 1 species
UACGAAGGGGGCUAGGCGUUGCUCGGAAUCACUGGGCGUAAAGGGUGCGUAGGCGGGUCUUUAAGUCAGGGGUGAAAUCCUGGAGCUCAACUCCAGAACUGCCUUUGAUACUGAAGAUCUUGAGUUCGGGAGAGGUGAGUGGAACUGCGAGUGUAGAGGUGAAAUUCGUAGAUAUUCGCAAGAACACCAGUGGCGAAGGCGGCUCACUGGCCCGAUACUGACGCUGAUGCACGAAAGCGUGGGGAGCAAACAGG